CCCCGGCGUCUGAUUGGAAGCGAUUAAGCAAACAUGAGCAGACACAUUAAAGUGUAAUGGACUUCUUCUCUGCCGGCACGUGUUACUAUAACUCACAUCUAUCUCGUGGCACAAAUCACGUGUUGAUGCAAUGAAUAAUGAACCAGCAAGGUACGGCACUGCCUCACAGGUCACCGGCCUGUGCCAAGUGUGUGGCGGCACUGCACACCACAUCCGGGAUUCCCCCGUUGGUCACACCCCCCACCCCCUCCAAUUGGAAUCAGUGGCGGAUCUUGAAAUUUCCCAAGGUGGAGGAUAAUGUCCCAAAAAUGUAAGCUUGGUAAAUUUGGCCCUAUUUUAAAAUAGAGGUUUUUUUAUAUUCAAUGUAUUUUUUUCUGGUAAAUAUCUACAAGACACCGAUUUUCUGGGUCUCAAGAGGGAGGCGAUCACCAAAUGCUUUCAUAUCUGCUAUUCGCAGUAACGUCAAUUAUAAAAUAUCACAGCGAGAAUGUGUUGUUUAUUUAUUUAUUGUUAUUAGCUCAAUUUAGGACUGUGGAGCUUCACUCUUCCAUCAUCACUCCCAUGUUCGUGCUUCUUCUACAUCACACAAUGGAGCCACUCAGCAGUAACACCAACAGCAGUUAGAAACAUAAUAUAAUCGAAGAGCGGAAGUGGCUCAAUUUAGUUUGUGAAGAUGGUCCCAGCACGUGGAGUGAAACGUCGGGCAUAAUGCAGAUAACCUUGAGAAAAACAUUAGGGAAAAUGUUGUUAUUUAUCGUCAUUACGCACACACAGACACAUUAUGUGCUUCUCGCCAAAGUCACAUUUUCUUUGAAAUUGAAUUUUUAAAAAUUUAUUUGAUGCAAUUUUAUAAAAAUCUGUUCAAGUGACACGCAUGAUCUUCAGUGUAUAUAUAUUAUGAUUUACGGCACAUGCUGUCUUAUCAGCGGCUGUUCUAAACUUGAAAAAACGUGAACAUUUCCAUUCCUCGAGGAAUAAGAUGAGUUUUGGAUAUUCUGAAUUCAAAUCAGGCCAAGUAAAAUGCACCAAAGGUAGUGUUCUCUCUACACAUAGUUAAUCUUAGUGACCUCUCACAGCGUGAGAUGCACUGCUCUUUGUACCUUCCCAGUCACGCCACUUCCUACCAAUAAAAUGACAGCACCCACUUGCCCUUUGCCUGGGCAGACACCCUUUGAACGCUUGCACAAAAGUAAACCACAACCUUACCCGUACAAACAGAGGAGCGCAGAAUACAGGCCACCUAUCCUGUCCUGCUGCCCUCCAACUGCUGCCCAAUGUGCCACAUUACCCACAAAGCCACCCAGCCUGCAAUGCUGCCCUUCACUGCUACUCAAUAAGCCACUGCACUCACAGAUGCGAUUUCCAGCACAAAUAAUAAAAGCGUUCUCUAUUGUCAAUUAGUUCAAGACCAAUGUUAUAUAUAUUACUCAUAAACUAAAAUAUUAUAUAUAUACAAGUUAAUUGUAUGGCUUUGUUGGAAAAUGAAGGGAAACUCGUGGUUAAAAUAAUAAUCAUUAUUAUGAGUCCUUUAUCAGAGUUUGGCUAUUCAAAUGUAUGUAAUCUGUUAAAUGCAAAUGUUAGCCUGUGAUUGCUGGCUCGAUUCCUCUUCUCGUCAUUGCGCUCACGCUGUAUUCAGGACGUGUAUUCAGUUGUGUGAAAUGCAAUAUAAAUAAUACAAUGUUUUCGAUGAUAAUCACCACAAGUCACCCACAAAGUCACCCAUGGUGGCCAAUUGUAUGAAAGAGGACUACCUUUUUUCCAUCACAUGUUACACUUCCAAAAAAACUACAAGUCAUUGUUUGCUAUGUGCGUCGGUUGGGAGUGUUGCGCAAGAGCUGCCAUGGCUAUAUGGGGAUAUAAUUGGGUGGAAUAAGCGGAGCGAGGGGAAUGUAAAAGCUCACGUGAGUGUGUGCACAACUUCAAGUGGGUGAAAAGGUGGCAGGGCGUGUACGUGUUUGCGAAUGCUGAGUUUGUGUACGGGCAAAAGGUCACUUGGAUAAAGCUACCUCUCCAACAGAUCCAUCAGAGUUGUAUUGUCUGGUCAGGCUUCAGAACCUUCUCCCAUCAACGCCUCUGUACCACAAGGAUCAAUUUUCGGUUCACUUCUCUUCUCCAACUUCAUUGACGAGCUGUUCAAUGCAUGCGUGAACCUGCUGUACCGCUACGCUGACGACUCAACCCUCUAUACUCCAAUAAGAUCACCUGCAGAAAGCAACGCAGUGGCAGCUAGCCUGAACAGGGAUCUUCAUCAAAUUAACAUCUGGACAGACAAAUGGAAGAUCACCUUCGAACCAUCAAAGUGUCAGACCAUGACACUAUCUUGGAAGAGAAUUCCAUCCAAGCUGGAUCUGCAUUUUGGUGACUGUCAGCUAGCAUCAAUCAACAAGCUCGAGAUCGUCGGUGUUACCAUUGACAGCAAGCUCACGUGGUGAAAACAUCUCAACAACAUCUCCAUCAGAGCAGGACAAAAACUGGGUGCACUCAAGAAAGGUGGCCAACAAACUACAAAGCUCAUACCUGCGGUGUCGUGGAGUACGCCUCUUUUUGCUGUAUGAAUGCCCCACUAAGUCAACCUCAGCCUUCUCUUUUAUUUUAUUAUGUUUAAUUUUUAUUAUUUUAUUAUUUUCCUUCUACGUGACUUUACCGAAAGAACCAAGAAGAUGAAUCCCUGCAGUCACGAAAGAAGCUUUAAAUCGAAAUUUGACCUCCACUACGGGGUGGGUUUCCACAAAGCUUUAAGAUGCUUCAACAAGCUCCGGGAUAAGAAGGCUCCAUUCAGAGUCUGCCUUCUCGACAGACCUGUUCUCCACCUGAAGAUGGCUGCUUGCGUUGUGGCCGAAACGUCGUGAGAAUUAUUUAAUUAUGUUUUACUUUUAUUAUUUUCCUUCUACGUGACUUUACCGAAAGAACCAAGAAGAAGACUCAGCCUUCUCGACAAAAUACAGACGGUGCUUCAAAUAACUGGUGUUGAUGAAGCCACCGCCAGCAAACAGCUCACCACCCCCAGCCUGCAUCACCGUCGACAAGUCACUUCUAUCACAGUCAUGUAUAAAAUUCACACCAACUACUGCCCCCACAGACCUUCAGGCCAUGCUUCCACCUCCAUAUGAAAGACGCCGUGCCACCUGAUUAAGCACAACCCUGCCAAGCCACGUCCUUGCCCCCCCCUCCAGUUGCCAGAACAUGGACAGAAGCUCCCUUCACUCGACUGUCCGGAUAUGGAACUGCCUCCCUGAACACAUUUGUCGGCGAAAUCACCGAUUUCGGUCUUCAGUCCUUCAAAUGCUGAGCACAUGGACAUCUCCUAACUUCACCACACGUCUUGUAAGACUGAAUCUUUGAGCUGCAGUGAACCAAUGAUUAUGCCGAUUAGAUGUACUAAUGUCUAAUAUGGCUGUUGUUCACAAUCGUACCUAAUAAAAAGGUCA